rnacentral:rRNA from 1 species
UACGUAGGGUGCAAGCGUUAAUCGGAAUUACUGGGCGUAAAGCGUGCGCAGGCGGCUUUGCAAGACAGAUGUGAAAUCCCCGGGCUUAACCUGGGAACUGCAUUUGUGACUGCAUGGCUGGAGUGCGGCAGAGGGGGAUGGAAUUCCGCGUGUAGCAGUGAAAUGUGUAGAUAUCCGGAGGAACACCGAUGGCGAAGGCAACCGCCUGGGCCUGUACUGACGCUGAGACACGAAAGCGUGGGGAGCAAACAGG